CGGGUGACGAGUGUAGGCGGCUACCGGGCGAUCUCCUUCGGGCCGCGGCAGGUGUUGCCAAGAAAAGCACAUUUUAUAACAUGAUGGUGUGCGUUGUCUUCUGGAUCAAUAUAAAAAGCUGAAGCUACUACACACUUUAUUGCCUACAACAUUUAACAAACGACAUCUUUCACUCCAUUCAACUGAGGCAUCCUGCCUUAAUAGCACGGAGGGGAGAAGAUGGAUUUAACAAUUGCAGUGCUAUUAACUUUAGCCCUGAGAUGCAUUCAUUCUGCAUUGAUGGACUACAAGAAUUCAACUUUAAAAGAUGGCAUGAAAAGCGAAGAAACUGAACAAGAUGUGUUUCAUAUAAUUUUAAAACAGAACAAAGAACUAUGUAAGACAUUUUUUGGAUUAAAGUUUGAAAAUAAAAUAG